rnacentral:lncRNA from 10 species
UAGAGGUUCCUGUACCAUUUGAAAUAAAAAUUCAUUUCCUUGAAUACAUGGAAUUGAUGCUAAUUAAAAUGCCUGCAAGAGUUAAAGGAAUCAGCCAGCCCCAGGAAAAUAUAAGAUUGAAAAGGUCACAUACACCAUACAACUCUUUCUUGGCCUUCAGCUCAAGAGUUCAUUGAAUUGGGAGACUAUAAUGAAGUAUAAAAUACCAAGAUAAUGAUGGCAUCAGCAAACCAUACCUGUGGUUUGGAGCACAAGAUAGGAACUGCAGAGAUACCUGCAGGGCAAGAGAAUUUGGUGCCCACCUGAGACAUGAUGACACGGCCCCUCCUGUCCCUCCGCCAACACGAACACCAACUUGUUCACAUCCCCAGUGACUGUGCCAUGCGGAGAAGGUAGAGGCAAAAGCUGAGCACUAGAACCAAAAAAGCUGAGUUUGACUGGACCACGUUCCUUCUGCAUCCCAACAACAACUCACACAUAAUAGCUUCUUGACACCAGGUGAAGUCUCUAACCUUAAUAUCCUCAUUUGUGAAAUGGAGAAAUUGACACCACCUGAGCAGGGAUGGCAUAAGGAGCAGAGAUAAUGAGGAAUUCCUGCCACAAGGUUAGGAGAUAUAAAUGGGAGGGUGUUUCUGUUUUGAUGUAAGAGUAUUAGAACUUAAGGAAAAAUCAAUAAUCAAAAGAUAAAACAGAAAACUCUCCUAUAUACUUGGAAGUUAAGAAACAUACCUCUAAAUAACCCAUGAGUCAAAAAAGAAAUUAUAAUACAAACAGGAAACUAUUUCGAGUUCUAUGAGAUAUGUAUAUAUAAACAUGCAGGAUUUGGCUGAAGCAGUGGAGGAAAAUGCAGAGACUUAAGUGAAGGAAGGACAAAUAUUAGUGCACUGAAACAUCCACCUAAACUAGAAAAAGAGAAAAGGAACCCAAAGAAAGUAGAAGAAAGAAAAUAAUAAAUAUUAAAGCUGCUACUAAUAAAAUAAUAAAUGUAAUUUAGAGAGGGCCAAGAUAGCCAAUAGCAGGUUCUUUGAAAAAGCUAAUAAAGUUGAUAUACUUCUGGUGAGGCUCACAAAAAGAAAGGAGCAAAUAACUAGUAUCAGGGAUGACUAGUGAGGGCAUUUAGCUGGGUAUUAUUGGUGCUUCCAGAGGUAAAGCCUUGGCCUCUACUUCAGGAUCCUGAAAAUGCAGGGGAGAGACAAACUGUGUCCAUGAAAAAUACCAGGAAGUGAUUUGGAGAAAGUAAGUACUCUGGGCCCGGGGUUCGGUGGAGAGUGAGCCCCUGACUGGGAAAGCCAGGGAAGGCAUUGCAGUGGGGGUAGGUCACUGUUGGAUCCCACAAGGAGAACUUUUAAUGAUUGAGGGAACACAGGUGAUAUGAAAGAAGACUGCAUCUCAUAAUCUCCCCAAGCUCAGGCUCCGGAGUCAAAUGGAACUGAAUUUGCAUCCCAUCUCUGCAACUACCAGCUUUGUGACAUUGUACAAAUCUCUGUGCCUCUGUUUCCUCAUCUGUAAAACGAGAGUAAUGAUAGCAUCUCUCCCUUAAAGGUUGUCAUGAACAUUAAAGAGUACUCAGCUGCAUUGAGUAUUACUAUUAUUAUUUUUACACCUCUGUUAACGUAGUAUAAUGUACCAAUUUGGGCAAGAAGCCAGAACUGCACUUCUGUGAAUAGGCCCAGACAAUAAGGCAUCCCUCAUCUCUCCAUCUGCUCGGCAGUCAUUUAUUAAGCACCUCCUUUGGGCUAAGAACAGCUACUCCCCCAACCCAGGUUGUCGACAUGCUGCCCAGAAUGGAGGGGCAUCUCCAGUCAACACCCCGGCCAAUGCACAUGCCAAACCGGGCCCUCUGUCCAUCCACUGUUGGGGGGUGGGGGGAGGCAAGGUGAGGAAUUAUCUCUCAGAUACUCAAGUGCUCAAGAAUCAAGACAAAAGUUGAUGAUAAUUAGCCCUGAGUGGAAGUGGGUGAUUUUUAAAAAAUAAACAUUUUAUCUAAGGAAAAUCAAAGGUCAAAUGGCAGGUGGG